rnacentral:rRNA from 1 species
GAUGAACGCUAGCGGCAGGCUUAACACAUGCAAGUCGAGGGGCAGCGGGGGGCGCGCUUGCGCGUCCCGCCGGCGACCGGCGCACGGGUGAGUAACACGUAUGCAACCUGCCCCCGCCAGGGGUACAACCCUCCGAAAGGGGGGCUGAUACCGCGUACAUCCCUUGGGGGCAUCCCCGGGGGAGGAAAGCCCUACGGGGCGGGCGGGGAUGGGCAUGCGGCGCAUUAGGAAGACGGCGGUGUGACGGACCACCGUUCCGACGAUGCGUAGGGGUUCUGAGAGGAAGGCCCCCCACACUGGUACUGAGACACGGACCAG